rnacentral:rRNA from 1 species
UACGAAGGGGGCUAGCGUUGCUCGGAAUCACUGGGCGUAAAGGGUGCGUAGGCGGCUUUUUAAGUCAGUGGUGAAAGACAACAGCUCAACUGUUGCAGUGCCAUUGAUACUGAAGAGCUUGAGUACAGAUGAGGUAGGCGGAAUUUAUGGUGUAGCGGUGAAAUGCAUAGAUACCAUAAAGAACACCUAUUGCGAAGGCAGC